UCGCCUUGAUUUUCAUGUCUAUGUAUAUUUUUAAGGUCUCGUUGGAUUCGCUUUGUGUCUCUUUGUGGAUGUUUUGUUUGCUUCUCUUUGUCGCAGCUCAAUGUAAGUUUGUCUCUUCGGUGGUUCACCUGCACUCCUUCGUAUUAAAGUCGAUCUAUGUGGACGUAGCAGACCCGUGUGAUGCCGCUGAUAUUAACUGUGUAUGUGUUCAUCUUAUUAGCUCUGCUGUUCGAUAACUAGAACGCGUAACUGUUAAUCUGUCCAACUACCAGCUGUGGAAAUCUCUUCAUUUAGUUUCCUUGGAAACCAGGAAAAUGUGUCGACUGCAGCAAAGGAAAACUCAUUCCCACACAUGCCGAAUGCCCCAACACAUAAAUAGACGUGUUCUUUAAAUAUCUUUGUAUUACUUUUACUGAUUAUCCGUUUUACCACAGUUGUAUUACUUCUUCUACACUUACACAUUAAAUAUACGUAUGGCUCCAUUGUCGGUUGGUCUGUUUGUUGAGUUAUUCCACCCAAAAGUGGUCAAAAGCAUCAGCUUUCGUGCACUUUGUUCUGGUGGAAUCUUUGCAGGGAGGAAAAACUUCCUGUGCAUCACAAACCAGAGGAUGUGUUGAUGAAUAGAACCACAUCAUAUGUGGACAUUUAUGGAAAGAUAUCGCUUACAUUCAAGGGGCGGGGCUACGUGGCCAUGUGAUCCGAUCCUCGCCAACAUCUGUCUCCAUCUACGGUUUAUUGUGACGACGUUUCAUCGGUCUCUGAUUCAAUCGUUUCACUCCAAGCUUUCCUGUGAUUGUGCCAUGAAAGGGUGAAUCGCCGCAGGAGUCGAUUCUGACUUUCACACCUUCACAGAACAACUUCUGUCUUCAGACGUGAUUCGCUUUCGCUGUCGUUUUUAAACCAGCACGUAUGAGAAGGACGGAUUAGAAGCCGCGCUGGCGGUCGCCUCUGUAAUGAGCUGUUAGCAAGAGAUCCACACACACAACCUCACCCACUCACACACACACACACACACACACACACACACACACGCACACACACACACGGUGAAUAAUUGAUGUCAUUUGAAUGCUGUGGGUUGAACACAGUUAAAUGUAAAAACGGCCUGCAGGGAAAUCAAAGCCAAACAUUCCCCGUCUGUCACUCAAAUUCACAUCCAAUAUUAUUCAACAUAAAAAGACAAGAGGAACACUUUCAUACGCAAUGUUAAAUAACGCAACAUUAAAAUGACACACAGAAAUAUUCAUAGUCUUACUAAGAGCCUUUAUAUGAAACAGGAAUGUUUUCGUUUUUUCCAAAACAAGAAAUGUUUCCUGCUGAUAUCGGAUGAAAAGUAGCGUUAAAUACGUCUCCUGCCUGAACUGUGAAUUCUCUAAACUUGAUUGUUAUUAAGUACCGUAAAGUUUGGUUUGGAAGAGAAUAAACGUGUUUCAGAGUGACGAUUAUAUGACGUUAACAUGAGAGAACAUUUUGAUUACAGCUUUAGGUCUCGUCUCAUUUUAUUAUCAACAAAGAAAAGCAUCAAAACAAAUAAAAUAUAGAAUGAACACAACUCAUGAGAUAGAAACCAAAUAUAAUGAACACAAAAGAGUAGAAACCAGAUCAAAUUAAUAAAGAAUUAGGAAAAUAUAAUUGAUAAAACAUACUGGUGUUAAGAAGCAAAGUUAGAAAUAAUGGGAAAGAAACCAAGUAUAAAAUACAGGGAUAGAAAAAUAUAUAUAAAUAAAUAUUAGAUAGAAACGGGCUACUGGGAUGGAACAUUUAAUUCUACACACACACACACACAGUGUGUAACAGAAGUUGUUGUGUGGGCGCGUUGGAAUAAAGUGGAUUCUCUGGGCCGCAGUCGAGUGGGAGGAGAAACAUCACAGCCUCCAUCAUCAUUUCUCUAUAUUGUCUUCGUGGUUGCUUCCUGUUCUCAUGUCAAACGUUUGUCUCAGUCGUUUCUGCUGGAGACACCUGCUGGAUCCCUCCGUGUUCCUCAGCGUCUCUCUGCUUUGACCCUUUUCCCCGCUGGCGUCUUUUCUUUUCCUUUUCCAGGAUUAGUGAAGAAGAACCAGACUCAUACACGUACAUGUUGUAGCGCCACGGGGGGGCCGGGGGGGCCGUCCCUAUGGACAGCUCGGUGCAAAUAUAACGUGUAUAUAUGUAUAUAUAUGUGUCUGAUGGUGUUUCUGCUUGUUGCAUCACUCCUGCACCAGGAAGGUCUGAUGGACACUUUGACUCUAUGAAAGGACCCGUCUGUCCGCCUGUCUGUCAGUCACAGGUCCUGGUCCUGGUCCUGGUCCAGGAGGUGCACAGAGACGCCCCCCCCCCCUCCCUCAGUGGUCCCCAUUACCUCCACCUCCAUCUGAUUACAGCUCUGCUUUGAUUGCGGCAGUGAACAGAAAUGAACAGGUUUAAUAAUGUUGGACCUGUCAAUCACCGCGUAGCCCCGCCCCCAGAAAGCACACUCUGGCUCUAUGGACCAUAAUCCACUACAUGAACAUCGUGGGGUGUUGAAGAAGACUUGGGAGCAGAGGGGGUCGCAGGCUGGAGGCUCGAUAGGGCGACAGCACACACACGCUUGCUGCAUUAGCUCACGUGGCGCUUUGGGAACAUUGUCUUUGUUACAGAUAACGGGGGAGACAGAGGGGGAGUCAAAUGUGUCAUCUGAGCGACAGACGCGUCUUCCUCCUCUUCGUCUUCUUUAUGUUCACCGUGUGUGUGUGUUUAUGUGUGUGCGUGUGUGUGCACACACAUUUGUUGGCGAUCCAACAACUCCGCCCAGAUUUCCUGCUCUGCUCUCUGUUGUUUUAUUGCUUUCUUCACUUUGGAGGAAAUUUGUGUCACUUUGAGUUUCUUCUUUUUCACAGAAACGAUGUGAAUGAAGCUGCCGGCUGAACUGAAGAGUGUGGAGCUUAUUUGUGGACAGAAGCUGUCUGGAGGAAUUUACGUGUGAUGGUGUGAUGGUGUGAUGGUGUGAUUGUGUGGUUGUGUGGUUGUGUGAUUGUGUGAUGGUGUGCAGUAAUAGUUGUCUUUUCCUGUUUUGGUUGUGUCUCCAACAAACCAUUUUAAAUCUUAAAUUCAAACCUCCAGUUGUCCAACGAGUCUUUGAGGAAAUGACUCUACUUCUCUCCUGAUUUAUUCCCUCAGUAAACGUUGUAAACAUCAGUUUAUGGUCUCAGUCUAGUUUCAAGUCUCCUUCAAUACAACAUGAUGUUCAUUUAGUGAAUUAUGGUCCAUCUAGAGUCAAACAGACCAUAAAGCAGGGGACGGGGGCGGAGCUACACGCUGAUUGACAGGUCUCCACUUCUCUCAACCUCACUUUUGUUCAUUGGUGGCAAAACAUAUGAUAUCAAGUUUACAUCCCUAUCUGACGUCCACAGGCAUAACACAUGUAUGUUAACAUGACAGAACGUAACAUAACACAUAUAUGUUAACAUGACAGAACGUAACAUAACACAUGUAUGUUAACAUAACAGAACGUAACAUAACACAUGUAUGUUAACAUGACAGAACGUAACAUAACACAUAUAUGUUAACAUGACCGCUGGUUUAAUAACUUGACAGAAGGCGGAACACAUGUUUCUCUUUUCUCCAGUUAUUUCUGAAUGAAUGUUGUUCACCUUCAUCACUGUGUCGUUUGUAAAAAAAACUAUGAUUUAUUCCUUUCAGUUGCGUCAUCUUUUGUUGAGAGAGAGGGAGAGAGUGAGGGAGGGAGAGAGACAGAGAUCCCCCCCCCCCCCCCCUCAUCUUCCCCUCUGCUGGACUCCACCCGCCUCCAAGGGCCCUGAAGGCGGAAGCAAAUGAACAAACUAAACGCACCAUCUGAGCCCAGAGCAGCCGGGGGGAGCGCUUCAUUCAUGCUACAGAGCCUCCCCGUUUAACCCAGCACAGCCCUGUAGCACACAGAUGUUUACUACUCUGCAUCGACAUCCACUUGUGUUUAUAAAGAAAGAGAUGAAACGUGUCGGUUUAAAGUAUCGUACACAUGUUCUGUUCAUAAAGGGACUUUGUCUACAAUAUGUCUUAAAUGAAACAUUUCUGCAACAAAAUGAUCCCAGACCUCUAAACUUGUUUCCGAUGACCUUUUUAGUUUGGCUUGACUCUUCAAGGUCCUGGUCUUGAAAUACUUUAGUCUUGUUCUUGAUAGACUCUGGUCUUGGUCUUGAUAGAUUUUACUCUUGUUCUUGAUAGACUCUGGUCUUGGUCUUGAUAGACUUUAGUCUUGUUCUUGAUAGACUCUGGUCUUGGUCUUGAUAAACUCUGGUCUUGGUCUUGAUAGACUUUAGUCUUGUUCUUGAUAGACUCAGGUCUUGUUCUUGAUAGACUCUGGUCUUGGUCUUGAUAAACUCUGGUCUUGGUCUUGAUAGACUUUAGUCCUAGUCUUGAUAGACUUUAGUUUUGUUCUUGAUAGACUCUGGUCUUGGUCUUGAUAGACUUUAGUCCUGGUCUUGAUAGACUUUAGUCUUGUUCUUGAUAGACUCUGGUCUUGUUCUUGAUAGACUCUGGUCUUGGUCUUGAUAGACUUUAGUUUUGUUCUUGAUAGACUCUGGUCUUGGUCUUGAUUGACUUUAGUCCUGGUCUUGAUAGACUUUAGUCUUGUUCUUGAUAGACUCUGGUCUUGGUCUUGAUAGACUUUAGUCCUGGUCUUGAUAGACUCAGGUCUUGGUCUUGAUAGACUUUAGUUUUGUUCUUGAUAGACUGUGGUCUUGGUCUUGAUAGACUGUGGUCUUGGUCUUGAUAAACUCUGGUCUUGGUCUUGAUAGACUUUUUCUUGGUCUUGAUUUGAUUAGUACCCCUGGAAGUCUUGGUCUUGCCGUUAUCGACCCCUCAUAGUCUUGGUCUUAGGAGAAUCUGGUCUCUUGGUCUUGACUUGAUAUCUACCCCUUGAAUCCUGCAACACCCUCUUUUCUACCUGGCCGGCCUGAAUCCUCGCCCCCCCAAACUGUUCCUGCUCCUCCAGAGGUACUCAUGACUGCUUCGCGUGCCAGCGGACUCACGUAUCACAGCUACGAUAAACCC
ensembl:lncRNA